rnacentral:lncRNA from 1 species
UACUUUACUAGCUUAUACAUGCCAUUGGUUUUCAAAAUAAAGUUUCUUUAUAUAUCGAAAUCUUGAGGUUGAUAGUGUGAUACGUCUCCGACCAAAUCCAACCUCUGAGCUCUUAACACUACAAAACAGGGGAAAAGGAACACGGGGUAAGCACUUUGUGCUUAGUAAGUUCAUGCAACAAGAAUUAUAUUUACCAUAUUAUACACCUAUCAUUUAAUAACACAAGCACACAUCCAAUUUACAUAAACAUAUACCUAUCACAUACAAACUCAACUUUUGCAUUAGUUAAGUAAACAUCAUAUAAAUUCAUUACAAAGACAAAUGAUUGAUGAGCUCAUCAAUUCCAUAUUUUUCAUUCCCUUGUUAUUUUUCCAUAUUUAUCCCGUUGAAUUUCUCGGAAUUUCGAUGGAUUUUCAGAGGUACACUUUAGUGUACAAAUCCGGGUCCGUCAAUUCAUAUUCAUGUGCGCACAUUUCCAUUUCAGAGAGCACACUCCCGCGAACCUCAUCCUUACAGCGGGAUUACCAGUCCAGGCUAAAUCCCCUGUAAUGUAAACUCAUAGAGUAUUGUCGGGAUUACCAGUCCAGGCUAAAUUCAGACCCCAAUUCGGAUUACCCGUCCGGGCUAAAUCCAUUUUCCACAUAUUCUUCGGGAGGGCUAUAUCAGGAUAGGAUCACCCGUCCGGGCUAGAUCCUUUUUACAAUCAAUUCCUUUUCAGAGAUCCAUUGAAUUUUCCUUUCAUUCAACCGGGAAUUAUUUUCUCUUUUCAUCAAGAAUAUCAAUACUUCAUCAAUUAUCAUAAAAUAAACAUCCAACUCAUUUUCACAUCAAUAACAAACAUUUCAAGCAUUUAAGAAUAUAAUUCAAGUUACACAAACUUACCUCGAUACUUGUUCGUAACCAAAAAUCUACUAGUCCCAAACUUUUUCUUUCCCUCGAUCUUGCUUCGUAUUUGAAUUUUCCGGAUCU